GACGAACGCUGGCGGCGUGCCUAAUACAUGCAAGUCGAGCGGAUCUCGAGGAGCUUGCUCCUUGAGAUUAGCGGCGGACGGGUGAGUAACACGUGGGCAACCUGCCUGUAAGACUGGGAUAACACCGGGAAACCGGUGCUAAUACCGGAUAAUUCUUUCCCUCACAUGAGGGGAAGCUGAAAGUCGGUUUCGGCUGACACUUACAGAUGGGCCCGCGGCGCAUUAGCUAGUUGGUGAGGUAACGGCUCACCUAGGCAACGAUGCGUAGCCGACCUGAGAGGGUGAUCGGCCACACUGGGACUGAGACACGGCCCAGACUCCUCCGGGAGGCAGCAGUAGGGAAUCUUCCGCAAUGGACGAAAGUCUGACGGGGCAACGCCGCGUGAGUGAUGAAGGCCUUCGGGUCGUAAAACUCUGUUGUUAGGGAAGAACAAGUAUCGGAGUAACUGCCGGUACCUUGACGGUACCUAACCAGAAAGCCACGGCUAACUACGUGCCAGCCGCCGCCGUAACAC
rnacentral:rRNA from 1 species